CCUACGGGAGGCAGCAGUGAGGAAUAUUGGUCAAUGGACGAGAGUCUGAACCAGCCAAGUAGCGUGAAGGAUGACUGCCCUAUGGGUUGUAAACUUCUUUUAUAAAGGAAUAAAACGAGGCACGUGUGCCUUUUUGCAUGUACUUUAUGAAUAAGGAUCGGCUAACUCCGUGCCAGCAGCCGCGGUAAUACGGAGGAUCCGAGCGUUAUCCGGAUUUAUUGGGUUUAAAGGGAGCGUAGAUGGGUUGUUAAGUCAGUUGUGAAAGUUUGCGGCUCAACCGUGAAAUUGCAAUUGGUACUGGCAGUCGUGAGUACAGUUGAGGUAGGCGGAAUUCGUGGUGUAGCGGUGAAAUGCUUAGAUAUCACGAAGAACCCCGAUUGCGAAGGCAGCUUACUAAACUGUGACUGACAUUGAUGCUCGAAAGUGUGGGUAUCAAACAGGAUUAGAUACCCCUGUAGUC
rnacentral:rRNA from 1 species